UACGUAGGGUGCAAGCGUUAAUCGGAAUUACUGGGCGUAAAGCGUGCGCAGGCGGUUUUGUAAGUCUGUCGUGAAAUCCCCGGGCCUCAACCUGGGAAUUGCGAUGGAGACUGCAAGGCUGGAGUCUGGCAGAGGGGGGUAGAAUUCCACGUGUAGCAGUGAAAUGCGUAGAGAUGUGGAGGAACACCGAUGGCGAAGGCAGCCCCCUGGGUCAAGACUGACGCUCAUGCACGAAAGCGUGGGGAGCAAACAGG
rnacentral:rRNA from 1 species